GGAAGAGGAGUAUGAUCACGGGAUUGAUCCCUUCGAAGAUAAAAAAGACAGAGGAUGAGAGAGGGGAUGCACAAGCCACUGUCCCCAUCAGUAGGCCUCCUUCAAACCGAGAGGGAAAAGAAUGUGGCCAGGAGGGUGCAGCAUCCAGAAAAAAGGCCAAACCAAUGCCAGCCCCCCUGACAGUGAAAGGGAGAGGAAGAGGGAAAGGGAAAAAAACAUCUCUGACCCCAGAAGAGCCAGGAGCUGUUUGGAACGGACCUGAGGUGCCAGAUACUGCCCAACAACUACCACACUUUUGCCCGAAAAGAGCCCGUGGAGUCCAAGGAUUUGUUGGUGUGGAGUAUACUCCUGCACAAAUAUUUAGAAAUUAUUUUAACAACCAAGCUGUAAAUAUCAUCUGCAAGAACACAAACAAAAAUGCUGAAAAGGAGCAGGCUAAGGGGGAAAAGUUUGUUUGGGAAAGCCGGUAAAAUUCCUCAUGUAUGUCGGCCUUAUGAUGUUCAUGGCACUUCUAAAACUGCUCAAAGUAAGAGACUACUGGAGGAAGGGAUCACACCUGAGUGUUCUCUUUCCUGCUUCUAUCAUGACAAGAGACAGGUUCAUGGCAAUCAGCAGAGCUGUACAUCUGAGCGACCCAGACCAUGAUGAAUCUUGAUACAUUUCCUUUGCUCUUUAUAUAUUUUUCUAAUAUUUUGGUUAUAGUUUGAAGAUCAUUUGCUCUUUGUACUUUUGCACUUUCUAUAUAUUCCUAAUACUUUGUUUAUAGUUUUAAUAUAAUUUGCACUUUGUUAAUUUGCACUUUGAAUUUGUUUCACUGUUUGUGUUUGUAUUUCAAUGUUCAAAUUAUAAUAUAUAUCUCUGAAACAA